rnacentral:rRNA from 1 species
AUGCAUGUCUAAGUACAUGUAGCUUGCCUACGAAACCGCGUAUGGCUCAUUACAACAGCUAUGAUUCUAUUGAUCAUGACACUUUCCUAUAUGGAUAACUGCGGUAAUUCUGGAGCUAAUACAUGCAUAAAAGCGGGGUCACUCGUUGGCACCGUGCACUUAUUAGAACAAAACCAACUUGUUGAUUUUGUUGACUCGGAAUAAUUAUUACGCUGAUUGCAUGGCCUUUGUGCCGGCAAUGUGUCAAAGCUGUGUCUGCCCUAUCACACUUCCAACGGCAGUGUAUUGUCCUGACGUGGUUGUGACGGGUAACGGAGAAUUAGGGUUCGACUCCGGAGAAAUAGCCUGAGAAACGGCUUUUACA